rnacentral:rRNA from 1 species
GAUGAACGCUGGCGGCGUGCCUAAUACAUGCAAGUCGAGCGAACAGACGAGGAGCUUGCUCCUCUGACGUUAGCGGCGGACGGGUGAGUAACACGUGGAUAACCUACCUAUAAGACUGGGAUAACUUCAGGAAACCGGAGCUAAUACCGGAUAAUAUAUUGAACCGCAUGAUUCAAUAGUGAAAGACGGUUUUGCUGUCACUUAUAGAUGGAUCCGCGCCGCAUUAGCUAGUUGGUAAGGUAACGGCUUACCAAGGCGACGAUGCGUAGCCGACCUGAGAGGGUGAUCGGCCACACUGGAACUGAGGCACGGUCCAGACUCCUACGGGAGGCAGCAGUAGGGAAUCUUCCGCAAUGGGCGAAAGCCUGACGGAGCAACGCCGCGUGAGUGAUGAAGGUCUUCGGAUCGUAAAACUCUGUUAUUAGGGAAGAACAAAUGUGUAAGUAACUAUGCACGUCUUGACGGUACCUAAUCAGAAAGCCACGGCUAACUACGUG